GACGAACGCUGGCGGCGUGCUUAACACAUGCAAGUCGAACGGAAAGGCCCUGCUUUUGUGGGGUGCUCGAGUGGCGAACGGGUGAGUAACACGUGAGUAACCUGCCCUUGACUUUGGGAUAAAUUCAGGAAACUGGGGCUAAUACCGGAUAGGAGCUCCUGCUGCAUGGUGGGGGUUGGAAAGUUUCGGCGGUUGGGGCUGGACUCGCGGCUUAUCAGCUUGUUGGUGGGGUAGUGGCUUACCAAGGCUUUGACGGGUAGCCGGCCUGGGAGGGUGACCGGCCACAUUGGGACUGCGAUACGGCCCAGACUCCUACGGGAGGCAGCAGUGGGGAAUAUUGCACAAUGGGCGGAAGCCUGAUGCAGCAACGCCGCGUGCGGGAUGACGGCCUUCGGGUUGUAAACCGCUUUCUCCUGUGACGAAGCGUGAGUGACGGUAAUGGGUAAAGAAGCACCGGCUAACUACGUG
rnacentral:rRNA from 1 species